GACGAACGCUGGCGGCGUGCUUAACACAUGCAAGUCGAACGGUGACCCAGGGCUUGCCCUGGUGAUCAGUGGCGAACGGGUGAGUAACACGUGGGGCAACCUGCCCCUGACUUCGGGAUAACUCCUCGAAAGAGGAGCUAAUACCGGAUACGACCACUUCGGACAUCCGAUGGUGGUGGAAAGUUUUUCGGUCAGGGAUGGGCCCGCGGCCUAUCAGCUAGUUGGUGGGGUAAUGGCCUACCAAGGCGACGACGGGUAGCCGGCCUGAGAGGGCGACCGGCCACACUGGGACUGAGACACGGCCCAGACUCCUACGGGAGGCAGCAGUGGGGAAUAUUGCGCAAUGGGCGAAAGCCUGACGCAGCGACGCCGCGUGAGGGAUGAA
rnacentral:rRNA from 1 species